rnacentral:rRNA from 1 species
UACGGGAUAACAUAUUUGAGAGGCAUCUCUUGAAUAUCAAAGGUGAGCCAGUACAGGAUGGACCCGCGUCUGAUUAGCUAGUUGGUAAGGUAACGGCUUACCAAGGCGACGAUCAGUAGGCGACCUGCGAGGGUGAUCAGCCACAUUGGAACUGAGACACGGUCCAAACUCCUACGGUAGGAAGCAGUGGGGAAUAUUGCACAAUGGGAGAAAGCCUGAUGCAGCAACGCCGCGUGAGUGAUGAAGGCCUUCGGG